rnacentral:lncRNA from 12 species
GGAGGUUUUGCCCUCAUCCUGUCCUGGGCCCCAGAGCUGUUUGUGGUCCAGACUGGCUGAGUCAUGGGGGCAGCUUCUGGCUCACCCCAGCACAGAGUUCCUCGCAUUUCACGGCAGCUGGGGCCCCUCUGGAGCUGGCAGCUCCGUGCAGGGUCACAUCCUCACAUCCCACUGGAUCUGUCAGUCCGUCUCCUGGCUGCUGCUGGCUUUUCCUGCAGGAGCAGCAGCCCAGCCCUCCAGUUCCAGGCUGCUUUGGAUCACUGGGCAGGUCUAUUUGCUGUUAGCCAGCAGUCCCAGGCUCUGAUCCAGGACACAGAGGAUGAACAACUCCAGGAGGUUCAAAGCAGGAGGUUUGCUCUCCUUUCACACCCUUAUUUUCUGGUGCUGCCUUUGAAAUAUCCCUGCAGGUGCAAAGCACAGCUUUGCCCAACCAACUGAGCCACCCUGACCUGUCACAGGAGCCACGGCCGCCUCGGGGGGCACAGGGACAGCACAGCAGCUACAGCCGCAUCUCCCAGCCUGAGCUGUGAAGUGAUGGAUGCUUGGCGAAGGCAGGGCUGUGUUUUCGGAGUUCUUUGGGCAGGUUGAGGAGAUGUUUUCCUGCAGAGCCCCGGGAGCCUCCCUGGCUGCUGGGCCAUGUGUUGGGUUGAUGUGGCCAGAAUUGUGUAUUCUAUCAAUAUUGAAGCCGGGUGGGGCAGUGCCCCUGAUCUCCUGGCACAUAUUAUCUGCUAAUGGGCCAGCUUUAAACCAGCUGGGCAAUCAUCUUUAUCUUCCCACAGCCCAUCCUCCCUCCAGG